rnacentral:rRNA from 1 species
GAUGAACGCUGGCGGCGUGCUUAAUACAUGCAAGUCGAGCGAACAGACGAGGAGCUUGCUCCUCUGACGGUAGCGGAGGACGGGUGAGUAACACGUGGAUAACCUACCUAUAAUACUGGGACAACUUCGGGAAACCGGAGCUAAUACCGGAUAAUAUAUUGAACCGCAUGGUUCAAUAGUGAAAGACGGUUUUGCUGUCACUCAUAGAUGGUUCCGCGCCGUAUUAGCUAGUUGGUAAGGUAACGGCUUACCAAGGCAACGAUGCGUAGCCGACCGGAGAGGGUGGUCGGCCACACUGGAGCUGAGACGGGGACCAGACUCCUGAGGGAGGGAGCAGUAGGGAAUCUUACGCAAUGGGCGAGAGCCUGACAGAGCAACGGCGCGUGAGUGAUGAAGGUGUUCCGAUCGUGAAACUCUGUUAUUGGGGGAGAACAAAUGUGUAAGUAGAUGUGCAGGUAUUGACGGUACCUGAUCAAAAAGCCACGGCUAACUACGUG